rnacentral:pre_miRNA from 1 species
AUAGUACUCUCUCCGUCCGAAAAAGUUUGUCUUUCAAAUGGAUGUAUCUAGCAUCAAGUUAGUGCUAAAUACAUUCAUUUGAGGAACAAGUUUGGGACAAGCUUUUCUGGAUGAAGGGAGUAGCCU